rnacentral:lncRNA from 10 species
GUUUCUGUGGAGAAGUCAGGUAUAAUUCCUAUUAUUGAUCCACUAUAGAAACAUAAGGAGAUUUUUCUCCAAUAUCCACUGUGAGGACCUGAUGGAGUUCCUAAAGAAUCUGAGAGUACAGAGUACAGUGGGCCCUGAAACAGCAUGGCUUCGAUGCUUAGAAAAUGCUCUCUUCCAACCGAGUAAAUCAAGAUUUUGGAGCCAGAUACCGUUGUUUGAUCUUCUUCUGUCCAGGUGAGUUACCAUGGGAAAUCAACUGAAGCAAUUGAGAGGAAAGAAGAGGAAAGUAGGCAAAUAAAAGAAGAAUGGUAUAAGGAAGAUCAAAAGCCAAAUAUUUAUUACAUAUCAGCAUCUGUGAUAUUGUGUGACAGGGUCUGUCAGACUAUAUUACCUGACUUAAGGAUUUUAAUAUGCCCUUUCCCCACAAAGUCUUCAGGUAGACUAACUAAAAUAUUGCACAGUCAGGAUAAAAUCCCAGCAUUGUGACAAUUUCUCUAAUGUCCUAUUCUGGCUUCUUAGCUGGAUAUUAAGAGAUCUUUGUUUGUUUCUUUAAGUUAGCCCAUGGACGUCUCAAUUGUUAAUUUGAACAUCUAUUUAAUUUACAACACUUUUAGUAGAGUUUGUUAUGGUCUAAAUAUGCACAUGAUCAUAGAGCCUUGGAAAUUGUUUUUAAUGCUAAUGCUAUUGCAAAAAGCUUGCUUUCAGACCAUUGUAUUUCUUAAAACAAAGCAAUAAGAAAAGCUAAUGAAAGCC